rnacentral:rRNA from 1 species
AUGCGCCUUCCACAGUUUAUGGUAUUCUUGUUUGUUUGUUCAUCCCAAGUCGGUGCAAUCUCGUCGUCGCAUGGCGCAUACGAUGAGAAUAUGAAUCAAAUGAGGCAACAAUCACCCUGGAAUAGUAGCUGGCUACCCAGAAAAGCUACAACUAACAGUGGCGUCAACCAUUAUGCUCUAAUUGAGUACUUAACAGACUCUAUACUCUUCGGUGGCAUGUCAACGUUUGAUGUCUAUGGUAUGAAAAAUGUCAAUAACCAAAUAAGCUCAUCACACAUGUGUGUGGUCGGUCGAGGGAAGGACUUCAGUAGUCACAAUGCUGCAAUAGCUGGAUGGACGGUUAGCCCAUCCGAAUAUGGUGAUAGCAAAACACAUUUCUUUACACGAUGGACGGUUGACGGGUAUAAGUCAACUGGAUGCUAUGACUUGAAAUGCGAUGGUUUUGUGCCAGUACAAAAUGCGCCUAUCACUCCAGGAGACACUCUAGACCACAAAAACGGAAAACUUAAGAUCACAAUCAAGAUAUUCAAGAAGAAAGAUGAUGGUGACUGGUAG